UCUGCCUAGCCCCCUCCUCCAGCAUAUCUGAUAUCACCCCAUAGCCGCCUAAUGUCUUGCCGGGCUACAGGGACUGGGAACCCUGGACAGCACUGCAAAUCCCGGGGCUCCCGGCUUGUGAGACAACGGGGCUUCCUCCUGACCUACAGGUAACUUGAUUGAUUGACUACAACCACCAACAUAUUCUGCUGCACUAUAUAUUUGUAUAGGCCAAGCUGAUUCUGCUAGGUAACUUGAUUGAUUGACUACAACCACCAACAUAUUCUGCUGCACUAUAUAUUUGUAUAGGCCAAGCUGAUUCUGCUAGGUAACUUGAUUGAUUGACUACAACCACCAACAUGUUCUGCUGCACUAUAUAUUUGUAUAGGCCAAGCUGAUUCUGCUAGGUAACUUGAUUGAUUGACUACAACCACCAACAUAUUCUGCUGCACUAUAUAUUUGUAUAGGCCAAGCUGAUUCUGCUAGGUAAUGCAAAUUGAAACAUUAUUGCAUAGUAUGUGAUUCUGAAGUACAUUUUUUUUUAGUUUAGAAUGAUAUAGACCCAGUUUAAUCUUUGUGGAAUGCCUGGUUGUUUUUCUAAGUUAAUUUAUUGCCUGGCAUUUGAGGGGGUGGGGUGUGGUUACAGAUUUCAAUUAUUGGUUUCACUUGUAGUAGUCCUCUACUUAAGUCCACUGGUGUAGGCUGUGCAAAGCCAUUUGGCUGUGCAUUUAUGAUCGAAGCGUGCAUUUUCAUCAAAGCGUGAUAAAAUUGACACACAACUGCAGCGUUCCAACAGCGUUCAAAUGAAGUGAAAAAGAAGGAAAACAGAAGCACACCAAUCUAACAAAACAAAGAAACCAGAGGAACUAAUAACAAAUGUGUGUCACUUACUCUUCAGACCACUCACCUCCUGAUUGUUGCAUCUGAUUAAAUAGCACGGAACUACCUUACUUGGACAUUUCAUAAACCAUCCAUUUUACCAACAAAUGCCUGUAUCUGUAUUAUUGGAAUUUUGUUUUUCAUGCACAGCUGCACCAAUGCAAUCUUACCUACAAACACCUAAAAAAUCUUACAGAACCACCAUUGCUUCUUAAACCUCACAAUCUUUUCAUCACAUACGGUCCAAAUACAUUUCAACACCCACUUUAUCUACGCUUCUGAUUAAUUUCAUACUAAAUCUACACCCAUUGAG